UAGGGAAUCUUCCGCAAUGGACGCAAGUCUGACGGAGCAACGCCGCGUGAGUGAAGAAGGAUUUCGGUUCGUAAAACUCUGUUGUUAGAGAAGAACAGCGCAUAGAGUAACUGUUAUGCGUGUGACGGUAUCUAACCAGAAAGCCACGGCUAACUACGUGCCAGCAGCCGCGGUAAUACGUAGGUGGCAAGCGUUGUCCGGAUUUAUUGGGCGUAAAGCGAGCGCAGGCGGUCAAUUAAGUCUGAUGUGAAAGCCCCCGGCUCAACCGGGGAAGGUCAUUGGAAACUGGUUGACUUGAGUGCAGAAGAGGAGAGUGGAAUUCCAUGUGUAGCGGUGAAAUGCGUAGAUAUAUGGAGGAACACCAGUGGCGAAGGCGACUCUCUGGUCUGUAACUGACGCUGAGGCUCGAAAGCGUGGGUAGCAAACAGG
rnacentral:rRNA from 1 species